GACGAACGCUGGCGGCGUGCUUAACACAUGCAAGUCGAACGGAAAGGCCCUGCUUUUGUGGGGUGCUCGAGUGGCGAACGGGUGAGUAACACGUGAGUAACCUGCCCUUGACUUUGGGAUAACUUCAGGAAACUGGGGCUAAUACCGGAUAGGAGCUCCUGCUGCAUGGUGGGGGUUGGAAAGUUUCGGCGGUUGGGGAUGGACUCGCGGCUUAUCAGCUUGUUGGUGGGGUAGUGGCUUACCAAGGCUUUGACGGGUAGCCGGCCUGAGAGGGUGACCGGCCACAUUGGGACUGGGAUACGGCCCAGACUCCUACGGGAGGCAGCGGUGGGGAAUAUUGCACAAUGGGCGGAAGCCGGAUGCAGCAACGCCGCGGGGGGGAUGACGGCCUUCGGGUGGUAAACCGCUUUCGCCGGUGACGAAGCGUGAGUGACGGUAAUGGGAAAAGAAGCACCGGCUAACUACGU
rnacentral:rRNA from 1 species